rnacentral:rRNA from 1 species
ACGUCAAGUCAUCAUGGCCCUUAUGUCCAGGGCGACACACGUGCUACAAUGGCCGGCACAGGCGGGAAGCGGAGGGGCGACCCUGAGCGGAUCCCUUGAAAGCCGGUCCCAGUUCGGAUUGCAGUCUGCAACUCGACUGCAUGAAGUUGGAAUCGCUAGUAAUCGCGGAUCAGCCAAGCCGCGGUGAAUACGUUCCCGGGCCUU